rnacentral:rRNA from 1 species
GUUAAAAAGCUCGUAGUUGGAUCUCGGCGGGCAGGGGGGUGGUUCGCUCUUCACCUACUGCCCGCUUGCCGUGUGAUUGGCGGAGUUUCGGGGUGCUCUUCGUUGAGUGACUCGAGCGCCGUCAGGUUUACUUUGAAAAAAUUAGAGUGCUCAAGCAGGCUUUUCACGCUUGAAUAUUCGUGCAUGGAAUAAUGGAAUAGGAACUCGUUUCUAUUUUGUUGGUUUUCGGAAAUCGAGUUAAUGAUUAACAGGGACAAUUGGGGGCAUUAGUAUUCAGACGACAGAGGUGAAAUUCUUGGACCGUCUGAAGACUGACUACUGCGAAAGCAUUUGCCAAGAGUGUUUUCAUUAAUCAAGAACGAAAGUUAGAGGUUCGAAGGCGAUCAGAUACCGCCCUAGUUCUAACCAUAAACGAUGCCAGCUAGCGAUCUGCCGAGUUUUUUUUGUANGCUCCGCAGGAAGCUUUCGGGAAACCAAAGCUUUUGGGUUCCGGGGGAAGUAUGGUUGCAAAGCUGAAACUUAAAGGAAUUGACGGAAGGGCACCACCAGGAGUGGAGCCUGCGGCUUAAUUUGACUCAACACGGGAAAUCUCACCAGGCCGGACACUGGAAGAUGACGAUGAGAGCUCUUCUCAUCGUGGUGUGUCUGCGUCUAUGUGAUAUGUGUAUCAUCACA